rnacentral:rRNA from 1 species
CUGGAAACGGAUGCUAAUACCCGAUAUGCUGUGGAGUGAAAGGAAUUUCGCCUAAAGAUGAUCUUGCGUCUGAUUAGCUAGAUAGUGUGGUAAUGGCGCACUAUGGCGACGAUCAGUAGCUGGUCUGAGAGGAUGGACAGCCACAUUGGAACUGAGACACGGUCCAAACUCCUACGGGAGGCAGCAGUGGGGAAUUUUCCGCAAUGGGCGAAAGCCUGACGGAGCGACGCUGCGUGAAGGAUGACGGCCUGCGGGUUGUAAACUUCUUUUCUCGAAGAAGAAUAAAUGACGGUAUUCGAGGAAUAAGCAUCGGCUAACUCUGUGCCAGCAGCCGCGGUAAGACAGAGGAUGCAAGUGUUAUUCGGAUUGAUUGGGCGUAAAGCGUCUGUAGGCUGUAUAGAAAGUCUUUU